rnacentral:rRNA from 1 species
GCAAGUCGAACGAAAUAGGAAGCAAUUUCUAUUUAGUGGCGGAAGGGUUAGUAAUGUAUGGAUAACUUGCCUCUUAUCUUUGGGAUAACGAUUGGAAACGAUCGCUAAUACCGUAUGAAGCGGGGGAUCACAUGAUUCCUUAGCUAAAGUGGGGGACUCUGAAAGGAGCCUUGCGAUAAGAGAGAGGUCCAUAUGCUAUCAGCUAGUUGGUGAGGUAAUGGCUCACCAAGGCUAAGACGGCUAGGCGGAUUGAGAGGUCGACC